GGCCAGCAGCCGCGGUAAAACGUAGGAGGCGAGCGUUAUCCGGAUUUACUGGGUGUAAAGCGCGUGCAGGCGGCUUGGUAAGUGGUGUGUGAAAGCGCCCGGCUUAACCGGGCGAGGCCGCACCAGACUGCGAAGCUGGAGGGAGGUAGAGGCGUGUGGAAUUCCGGGUGUAGUGGUGAAAUGCGUAGAGAUCCGGAGGAACACCAGAGGCGAAGGCGACACGCUGGGCCAACCCUGACGCUAAGACGCGAAAGCAUGGGGAGCGAACGGGAUUAGAAACCCCGGUAGUCCAUGCCGUAAACGAUGCUGACCAGGUGUGGCGGGGGUAACAGCCUGCCGUGCCGAAGCCAACGCGAUAAGUCAGCCACCUGGGGACUACGGCCGCAAGGUUAAAACUCAAAGGAAUUGACGGGGGCCCGCACAAGU
rnacentral:rRNA from 1 species